AACGUAGGUGGCAAGCGUUAUCCGGAUUUAUUGGGCGUAAAGGGAACGCAGGCGGUCUUUUAAGUCUGAUGUGAAAGCCUUCGGCUUAACCGGAGUAGUGCAUUGGAAACUGGGAGACUUGAGUGCAGAAGAGGAGAGUGGAACUCCAUGUGUAGCGGUGAAAUGCGUAGAUAUAUGGAAGAACACCAGUGGCGAAAGCGGCUCUCUGGUCUGUAACUGACGCUGAGGUUCGAAAGCGUGGGUAGCAAACAGG
rnacentral:rRNA from 1 species